rnacentral:rRNA from 1 species
AGAGUUUGAUCAUGGCUCAGGAUGAACGCUAGCGACAGGCUUAACACAUGCAAGUCGAGGGGCAGCGAGGGAGUGGCAACAUUUCUGUCGGCGACCGGCGCACGGGUGAGUAACGCGUAUGCAACCUGCCCUUCACAGGGGGAUAACCGGGAGAAAUUCCGACUAAUACCGCAUACGUCCCCUGGGGGCAUCCCCUGGGGAUGAAAGAAUUAUCGGUGAAGGAUGGGCAUGCGUGAUAUUAGGUAGUUGGCGGGGCAACGGCCCACCAAGCCCACGGAUAUCUAGGGGGUUCUGAGAGGAAGGUCCCCCACAUUGGUACUGAGACACGGACCAAACUCCUACGGGAGGA